CUAUGACAAAAAUGUCAUGGCGGAAGGAG
rnacentral:ncRNA from 1 species